rnacentral:rRNA from 1 species
UACGUAGGGGGCAAGCGUUGUCCGGAUUUAUUGGGCGUAAAGAGCUCGUAGGCGGCUUGUUGCGUCGUCCGUGAAAACCCGUGGCUCAACUGCGGGCUUGCGGUCGAUACGGGCAGGCUGGAGUUCGGUAGGGGAGACUGGAAUUCCCGGUGUAGCGGUGAAAUGCGCAGAUAUCGGGAAGAACACCCGUGGCGAAGGCGGCUCUCUGGGACGGUACUGACGCUGAGACGCGAAAGCGUGGGGAGCGAACAGG